rnacentral:rRNA from 1 species
GGGCGUAUUGAAAGAGAGAAAGUAUUGAGUGUUGGGAUCCAAGACCCAAGUCAUGUUGGAUUGUUUGUGGCGCACCAACGACCCGUCACCGUCCGAACGUUUUGCGUUCGGUGUGGCGGAGUCCGAGCAUACACGUUGGGACCCGAAAGAUGGUGAACUAUGCCCGGGCAGGACGAGGCCAGAGGAAACUCUGGUGGAGGUCCGAAGCGGUUCUGACGUGCAAAUCGAUCGUCAGACCUGUGUAUAGGGGCGAAAGACCAAUCGAACCAUCUAGUAGCUGGUUCCCUCCGAAGUUUCCCUCAGGAUAGCUGGCGCUCGUUGGA